GGUGGUAUGGACAUUUUAACAAUACUCUUCCAACCCAUGAGCAUGGUAUAUCAUUCCAUUUCUUUGUAUCAUGUUUCAUCUCUUUCAUCAGUGUCUUACAGUUUUCAGAGUAUAUAUCUUUCACUUGGUUACAUUUAUUCCUAGGUAUGUAUCUUUUUGCUGCAGGAUUUUCUUUCUGCUUCUUCAUUACGAGUUUUUUGGUGGAGUCUUUAGGGUUUUCUAUAUAUGUUAUCAUGUCAUCUACAAAUAAUGACAAUUUUACUUCUUCCUUACCAAUUUGAAUGCCUUUUCUUUUUCUUGUCCAACUGCUACAGUUAGGACUUCAAGUACUAUAUUGAAUAAAAAUGGUGAGUGGAUAUCCUUGUCUUGUUCGUGAUAUUAGAGGAAAGGUACUCACUUUUUCACUAUUGAGUACUCUGUUAGCUGUGGGUUUGUAUAUAUGACCUUUAUUAUGUUGAGGUAUAUUCCCUCUAAACCUACUUAGUUGAAAGUUUUUAUCAUGAAUGGAUGUUGUAUUUUGUUAAAUGCGUUUUCUGCAUCUUUUGAGAUAAUCAUAUGGUUUUUGUCCUUUCUCUUGUUAAUGUGAUCUAGCACACUGAUUGACCUGCGAGUAGUAAACCACCCUUGCAUCCCUGGAAUAAAUCCUACUUAAUUAUGUUGAGUGUUGUGUUUUUUUUUUUUUUUUUUUUAAUGUAUUGUUGAAUUUGGUUUGCUACUACUUUAUUAUUUUUGGAUCUAUGUUCAUCAGAGAUACUGGCCUAUAGUUGGUGUUUUGUUUUUGUUUUUUGUAUCUUUGUUUUUGUAUCUUUGUCUGGUUUUGUUAUCAGGUUAAUGUUGGCCUUGUAGAAUGAAUUUGGAAGUUUUCCUCCCUAUUCUAUUUUUGGGGAUAGUUUGAGAAAAACAGGUAUUAACUCUUCUUUAAAUGCUUGAUAGAAUUCAUAUGUUAAGUCAUCUAGUCAUGGACUUGUGUUAGUUUUUCUUUUUAAUUGUUGAUUCAAUUAUAUUACUAGUAAUUGAUCUGUUCAAAUUUUCUGUUUCUUCCUGGUUCAGUUUUGAAAGAUUGUAAGUUUCCAGGAAUUUACCCCUUUCUUCUAGGUUUUUCAAUUUGUUGCAUAUAACUUUGCAUAAUAUUCUCUUAUAUCCUUUGUAUUUGUUGUGUCUCCUUCAUUUCUGAUUUUAUUUACUGUGAGUCCUCUCUUCUUCUUGAUAAGUCUGGCUAAAGGUUUAUCAAUUACCUUUUCAAAGAACCUGCUCUUAGUUUGAGCGAUCUGCUUUUUUUUUUUUAUUUCCUUCGUUCUAGUUUUGGGCUUCAUUUAUUUUUGGGCCCCUUUAGGUGUUAAGUUAGGUUGAGAAUUUUGUUUCUUGAGGUAUGCCUGUAUCACUAUUACCUUCCCUCUUAAAGCUGCUUUUGCUAUGUCCUGAAGAUUUUGGACCUUAAUGUCAUUUUCACUUGGGUCUAUGUAUUUUUUUAUUUCUGCUUUGAUUUCUUCACUGACCCAAUGGUUGUUUAGUAGUAUGUUGUUUCUCCAUCUGUUUUGUGUUUUUCAAGAUUUUUUUUUGUAAUGAAUUUGUAGUUUCAUUAUGUUUGGAAAAGAUACUUAAUAUGAUUUUAAUAUACUUGUUUUGUGGCUUACCAUGAUCUAUCCUGGAGAAUGUUCCAUGUGCACUUGAAAAUAAUGCGUAUUUUACUGGUUUUUGAGUAUAAUGUUCUGAAUAUACCUGUUAGGCCAAUCUGGUCCAAUGUAUCAUUGAAAAGCAUUGUUUCUUUAUUGACUUGCUGUCUAGAUAACCUAUCCAUUCAUUGAUGUAAGUAGGGUAUUAAAGUCCCCUGAUAUUACUAUUGUCAAUUACUCCCUUUAGGUCUGUGAAUAUUUGCUUUAUGUGUUGAGACGCUAUUUGGGGCACACAGAUAUUUACAAUUGUAUUUUCAUGUAGGAUCAAUCCCUUUAUGUAGUCCCCUUCUUUGUCUCAUGCUACAGUCUUUGUUUUAAAGUCUAUUUUGUCUGAUAUAACUGUGGCUACCUCGGGUGUGUGUGUGUGUGUUGUGUUUUGUUUGCUUCUAUUUGCAUGGUAUAUGUGUUUGCAUCCCUUCAGUUUCAGUCUGUAUGUUUCUUUAGGUCUGAAGUGAGUCUCUUGGAAGCAUACAGUUGGAUUUUUUAAAAUCCAUUUCAUCACCCUAUAUCUUUUGACUGGAGCAUUUAGUCCAUUUACAUUUAAAGUAAGCAUGAUUCUUUGAACUGUUUUCUGGUUGUUUUGUAGUUUUUCUGUUCCUUUCUUGUUCUCUUGCUCUCUUCCUUGGUAGUUUGAUGGCUUUAUUUAGUGUUAUGCUUGGAUUCCCUUAUUUUUUGUGUAUCUGUAUCUACUGUAGGUUUUUUAUUUAUGGUAACACUUGGGUUCAUAUAUAACAUCUUAUGUGUUUAGCAGUCUGUAUUAAGUUGAUGGUCCCUUAAGUUCUAAAAGGACUACAUUUUUACUCCCCCUCCAUAUUAUGUAUAUGAUAGAUUUUGCAUCUUUUUUUAUUGAUCCCUAGACUGAUUUUUGUAGAUAUAAUCUAUUUUGCUACUUUUGUGUGUUAACCUCCAUUAAGUGAUUAAUCUACUACAUUUACUAUAUAUUUGUUUUUACCUGUCAAUUUUUUUCCAUUUGUAAUUUCCUUUUAGUUAUGGCUUCUUCUUUCCACUUAAAAAAAUUCCUUAAACAUUUCUUAAAAGUCUUGUUUCAUGGUGAUGAAUUCCUUUAACUUUUGUCUGGGAAACUCUUUCUCUCUCCCAUUCUGAAUGACUACCUUGCUGGAUUGAGUAUUCUUGGUUUGCAGGGUUUUUUCCUUUCAGUACUUUGAAUACAUCUUGCCAUUUCCUUCUGCCCUAGAGUAAGUUUUCGGUUUCCUUCUCUCUUUGCUCCCUCUGAGAUCUCUAUAAAGUGAAUGUCACUAUGCUUGAUGAUGUCACUGAGGUCCCUUAACCUAUUCUCAUUUUUUUUUCUUCCCCAUUUAGAUUGGUUGCUUUUGAUUACCCUCUCUUCCAGAUGACUAUAUUCUUUUGAAUCCUCUAAUCUGCUGUUGAUGGCCUCUAAUGUAUUUUUUAUUUCAGUUAUUGAAUUCUUUACCUCUGGUUUUUAUAUUUUUAAGUUCUGAGUUCAUCCACUCUUAAGUCCAGUGAGUAUAUUUAUGCCACUACUUUCAAUUCUUUAUUAGGCAUAUUGCCUGUUACCAUUUCAUUUAGCUGUGAUUUUGUCUUGCUCUUUCAUUUGGGACAUAUUCCUCUCUCUACUCAUGUUUUAUAACUUUGUGUUUUUGUUUCUAUGUAUUAGGUAGGUCAGCUACAUCUCCUGGUCUUUAAAGUGGUGGCCUUGUGUAGGAGAGAACACCCCCCUCAGGUCACCAAAACCAGGUCCUCCAGGGGUGCCCUUUGUGUGGGUUACAUGUGACCUAUUAUUGUGGGUAAGCCGCAUAUGCCUUCAGCACAGGGAGCUGCAAUGACCUACUUUGCCUGCUGUGGGUAUGCUGCACAGUUUGGUCCCAUGCCCUUUAUAUGCCUCAGGCCACCUUGGUUGGGCUUGUUGUUGGGUGAAGUCCACAUUCAGCCUAGCUGCUUGCAAUUAGCCUCUGUGCCACAGCUACAGGGGCACAGAAGACCAGGUUUUGCUCCAUUGCUUUUGAGAGGCUUAAACUUAAAGGGUGACCUAAGUAAGUGGUCCCAUAACUGAUUUAUGCAUAACUGGUUUAUGAUAAACCAAAAUACAACAGAAGACAGAAAAGGCUCAUUAAACAAUUCAUUAGUAAGCCAUACAAGCUGAAUCUGGUUUUUCAAACAUUCGGUUUUUAAAAUGGUAGCCCCAACUGUCUCUCAAAGCCAUCUUGUGUUCUCACACCCCUUUCUUGCUACAAGCUCAACAGCCCACACCUGCUGCUAUACCCCUCAGACAUUGAGGCAGCUUUACUGUCACAGCUGCAUCAGAAAGUCAGAAGACUGUCGUGUCCGUGGGCAGCCUCCAGUUUUAAUAAAGAAGGAACAUUAUAAACCCUCGUUGGAUUAGUAAAGAACUACCCACAUAGUCCUCUCCAUAUGGGUUUUAAAAGCUUGUUUUUAGCUCUCCUUAAAACUAAUGCCUAUUUGUAAUGGCUUCUAUGGGUUAAAACAGUAACAAUCCACAAUAAUUCUAAAUUUCCAACUGCUGCCUUUUUAUAAAACAGCUUUUAUAUCAGUUUUUAAAUAAAAAAUUCUCUUAACCAUGGUACUGCUGGACAGAAUUAUAAGGGUCGCUUAUUUUCCCCUUUGUAUUCUUUUGAAUCUUUGCUAAAUUUUACAAUGAAUAUGACACUUUUCUUAAUGUCCUUCAACUUUUAUUGAAACAUACAUGCAUACAGUCAUUAUUUCUCAAAGAAAAAGACUGCUUAGGCACAGCCUACCCCUGACAUUCACAGAUUUGAUGCCUGCCGUUUUAAUUAUCUGGAAAGUCUGAAUGAGCCUGAAAUGACUACAGUUUACUAUUUUGCAGCAGCAUGAAUAUAAAUUUCACUUCUCAAAGCUUGUAUGUGGAAGUGAAUCACAUGGCCAGUGAACAGUCUACUAGCUACCCAGCAUUCACAUCUCAGCAAAGCUUUGUUCUCUACUUACCUUCACACCUCCCAUCUGAGGAAGCUGCUUAAACUUUUUUCAUUUGUACAUUACUGCAUUUCAUGAGCAAAAAAAAAUAUAUGCCAUGGUGGUUUUUGAAACUCCUAAGAUUCUCAAAGGUUUCAGGGCAUAUAUUUCACAAGUGUCAGUCUUCCACAUUAUUUAAACUGUUAAAUACAUCCCUAUGGAGAGCAGGGAAUAAAACUGAUUUGUUGACGUUAUUAGAUCCCCUUUAUCCACUAUAUAAAUUUAAUUUAGCAAAACAGUAAUUGGGAAGUAUGUUUAAAUUAAUCCACAUUUUUUUUUACUCCCCCAAAGCAAAUAUAUAAUUAUGAAGGUGAUAGAAUAGGUUUAAAAAAUCCAAACAACAUAAAAGAGCAUGAAAAAGGAAGUCCUAGUUCACUUUCUUCUGGAAUGCCUGUCCCUAAGAAAUCACUGUGAACAGAUGGAUAUGCUGCUCAAGAAUUUUAAUGCACACCUGAAUGUUUUUUAUUGUAUACAAAUGGAAUCAUUCUAUAAACAUACUUCCAUAGAUAGUAUUCCACAGUACUUUGUAGCUAUCUUUCUGUGGCCUGGCUACUGAUCAACUUUAUAUCUUUCUUAAUUACUACAUAGCAUUAUUUAUUAAAUUUACAAUUUAUUAAACUAGUGGGCACAUAAAACUGUUUCUGAUCUCUGCAAUAACAAAGAAUGCUUCAAGGACAUCUUUUUACAGGUUUCAUUGUCCACAUUGACAAGUAAAAUUACUUUUUAAGGAAAUGCUCACUGAAAAUGAUCACUGUCCUCCCAAACCAGCAAUUUACAUUGACCCCAAUAUGUGAGAGUGUCCACUCUCCAAAACCUUUACUAACAAUGAAUAUUACCUAUCUUUGUCAUUUUGAACAAUUCUGCUUUAUGUACACUUUCUUGAAUAUGUAAGACAAUGCAUUUUCAUAUGUUAAAUCAGCUGUUUGCAAUUCUCUUCCUAUUCGUAUACUUAAGUACUCUUUCUCACAGGUCAUCUUCUUUUCCACUUUGUUUAUGGUGUCUUUCACCAUUACGCAGUUAAAUUUAUGAAUAUUUUCCUUUAUGGGUUCUGGCCUUGGUGAAAGCUCUCCCUUACAACAAGAUCCAAAAAAAGCUUGCCGAUAGAGUCCUGUGGUUUUAUUUUUCAUAUUAAAUUUUUUAAGUUUUUUUAUUAUUUGAGAAAGAGACCAGGGGAGGGGCAGAGAGAAGGAGACAAAGAAAGCCCAAGCAUGCUUCGCGGUGUCAGUACAGAGCCGAAUGGAUUCAAACUCAACCAUGAAAUCAUGACCUGAACUGAAAUCAUGUGUUGGACACUUAACCAACAGAGCCACCCAGGUGCCCCUCAUACUAAAUCUUGAAACCUUGUAUUAAUUUGAGAAAACACAGGAAUUAGGGAUGAAAUUAAUGUUUUAAUUUUCAUUUUCACUCACACUAUCUAUUGACUAAUAUCUUUUCUGCACUGAUUUGAAAUUUUUUCUUUGCUAUGUAAUAAAUUCCCAUAUAUAAGCAUUUCUGCACUAGUACCUGCUAAAUUAGUACAUCUAGGACAUUUUCUACCUCAUCUCUAACCUGUUUUCUCAUCUUCACUUAAAAAACUUUUUAAGCACCUCUUAAGAAUUUUUCUGCUUACAGGAGAACUUUUGGGCAAAUUAGAAUAAAUUUAGGGAAUAAUUUGGGGGAUAACUGACAUCUCUACCAUUUCAUAUUGGGUCUUCCCAUCCAAGAAUAGGACAUGGCUCUGUUUAUUAAGACUUUUAAUCUGUUCUUGUAUAAAGUUUUAUAAUGUUCUUCACCUAGGUCUUAAAUAUUUUUCAAUAAAGAUUUUACUGCUACUGUGAAUAGGAUCUUCUGCUAUGUAUAGUAAAGCAAUUGUUUUUUUGCCUACUUUUUAAAUAUUUAUUUUGAGAGAGCACAAACUCAUUCUUGAGUGGGGGAAUGGGAGAGAGAGAAUCCCAAGUAGUCUCUGUGCCUGACAUGGGCGGAGCUCAAUCUCCAUUAUCUGAAUCGUGAGAACAUGAUUUGAGCCGAAAUCCAACUGAAACACCCAGGGACCCCUUGCCUAUUUAUUAUUUGGCUGCCUUAUUAAACUUUUUAGCUCCAUGUUUAGAACUUACCAAAAUAAUACCUGUUUUUAAAAAAAUGGACAGUUUUAGAAAAACAAGUCUCCUACCCAGGGCUGCUCUUCAGGGAUAGCUAUUAAACAUUCUCUCAUAAUUUCCAACUAAUUUUCUUGAAAUGUUCGCAGCGUCUAACCAGUUCAUCUGCAAAUGUUGACAAUUUGGUCUUUCCUCGUCCUUAUUUUUAUUUUCCUUGUCUAAUGCCUUGUCCCUCAGUGGCAGGACUCCUGGCUGCUUCCACACUGUAAUGGAAAAUCCUUAGUGCUUCACUGUUAACUAUGAAGAUCACUGACAGCUUUUGAUAAUCUCCAUCAAAUUAACAUUUUUAUUCCUAGCUUACUAAGAGUCAGUAAAAGGUUUUUUUCCUUCUUUAAUCAGCGAUAUAUUUGGAAUUGUAUCAAAACCUAUUUGGGCGUUUUUAUCUUCUCCCAUUAAAUUAUAUUUUCCAAUAUUUCAUCUGCAGGGGCAUAAGGCAGGCUGGCCAGAGCAGGCUGCCCCAAGAUAGGCCACUUUGAAUUUUUUUUUUUUUUUUUUUUUUUUUUUUUGAGAGCGCAAAUGGAGGGGAAGGGCAGAGGGGAAGAGAGAGAGGGAGGGAGAGAAUCUUAAGCAGGCUCCACACUCAGUGCAGAGUCCAACAUGGGGCUUGAUUCCCAUGACCCUGGGAUCAUGACCUGAGCCAAAAUCAAGAGUCUGACACAAAUGACUGAGCCACUCAGGUGCCCCAAUUUUUUUUCUUUUUUUUUUUUUUAAGAUGGGCCACUUUAACAUGAACAUUAUUUGAGUUAAAGCAAACAAAACCCAGCAGGUUCAGCAGGCUCAGGAAAAGCUCUUUACCUCCCCCUCAACUGCCAGCUCACCAGGAAGAGAUUCCUCUUUAACUAAGAAACUUAUGUGCCUAAAUAACAGGACAAUCUUUGUUUUACAAACAUCUCUUCUCCCCUUUGAUCCUCAGACCCCCACCCCUCUCCUUAGCUCGUGGAAGCCUCAUGUUGGUCCUCAGGAUUUCAAGUCUGUGUGGACUCCCUGUACAUACCUAAAUUUGAUUUUCCCCAGUUAAUCUAUCUUGAGUCAAUUUGGUUCUUUGCCCAGAGAGGACUUUGAAGGGCAGAGGAAAUUCUUCUUCAACAGUUAACAUAGUCAGUAGGAUACUUUGACUCACUAGACACCACUGCAACGGAGAUCCUUGGGACAUCUGACAUACACCCGGCAGAAGAUUAAAAAAAAACAAACAAACUUUUUCUCUUAAAUGACUUAGAGCAAUUUGAUAGAAUACUACCACUGGAACAAAUUGAAACUUGUAUCUUUUUUCUACCUGAACCCUCCAGAAUUCAGAAACUCUCAGAGAGGAAUAUACAUUAGAUGCCCACAUCCUGACUAGCAAGAGCACGGACACGCUUCAGGAGGAUAAAAUCGGCAGAAGGUAGCAAAGACUGUUGUCAAACACCUGCAGUGCCUCAAAUCUGCCACUACCUGAAUCCCUACAGAGAUGACUAACCAAGGAGAAGAGGCAGAUUCCUCUGACAGCAAGGGUUUCCCUUCUCAAGUGAGGCCAGAGACAGCAAGGAAAACACAGUGACUCCACAGGCACAUUAGGAUGUGGCCCAGUUACCUUCUGAAAACUGAAUCCCGAUGGACUAGCCUUGACUAGUUUUCUAACACCUUUAGAACCCAGCCCAAACAGUGAAAUGUAAGACACAUAUUUCUGCAGUUGCAUUUGAAUUUUUUUUUAGUUGAAAUAACAAGAUGGUGUAUAUGGUAAUUAUUCUUCAUAAAAGUUUGAAAGUAUCUAAUAUCUAAAAGCUAUAAAGAACUUAUCAAACUCAACACCCAAAAAACAAAUAACUUAGUUAAGAAACGUAAAGAAGAUACGAACACUUUUCCAAAGAAGACAUCCAGAUGACUAACAGACACAUGAAAAGAUGCUCAACAUCACUCAUCAUCAGGGAAAUAUAAAUCAAAACCACAAUAAGAUACCACCUCACACCUGUCAGAAUGGCUAAAAUUAGCACAAGAAACAAAAGCUACUAGCAAGGAUGCAGAGAAAGGGGAACAGUCUUACACUGUUAGUGGGAAUGCAAACUGGUGCAGCCAUUCUAGAAAACAGUAUGAAGGCUCCUCAACAAACUAAAAACAGAACCCUACAAUCUAGCAAUCGCACUACUAGGCAUUUAUCCACAGGAUACAGAUGUGCUUUUUCGAAGGGACACAUGAACCCCCAUGUUUAUAGCAGCACUAUCAACAAUAGCCGAAGUAUGGAAAGAGCCUAAAUGUCCGUUGAUAGAUGAAUGGAUAAAGAAGAUGUGGUGUGUGUAUACACACACACACACACACACACACACACACACACACACACAAUGGAGUAUUACUUGGCAAUGAAAAAGAAUGAAAUCUUGCCAUUUGCAAGUACGUGGAUGGAACUGGAGGGUAUUAGGCUAAGUGAAAUUACUCAGAGACAGACAAAAAUCAUAUGACUUCACUCAUAUGAGGACUUUAAGAGACAAAACAGAUGAACAUAAGAGAAGGGAAACAAAAAUAAUAUAAAAACAGGGAGGAGGGCAAAACAGAAGAGACUCAUGGAGAACACACUGAGAGUUACUGGAGGGGUUGUGGGAAGGGGGAGGGGCUAAAUGGGUAAGGGGCACUGAGGAAUCUACUCCUGAAAUCAUUGUUGCACUAUAUGCUAACUAAUUUGGAUGUAAAUUUUAAAAAAUAAAAAAAUUAAAUAAAUAAAUAACAUUAAAAAAAAGAAACUAAAAAUAGAACUUCCAUGUGAUUCAGUAAUUGCAUUAUUAGGUAUUUACUCAAAGGAUACAAAAACACAGAUUCAAAGGGGUACAUGCACCCCAAUGUUUAUACAGCAUUAUCAAUAAUAGUCAAAUUAUGGAGAGAGCCCAAAUGUCCACUGACUGAUGAAUGGAUAAAGAAGAUGUGCUAUGGGGCGUCUGGGUGGCUCAGUUAGUUAAGGGUCCAACUUCAGCUCAGGUCAUGAUCUCACGGUUACUAAAGCUGAGCCCCGCAUCAGGCUCUGUGCUGUCAGCUUGGAGCCUGGAGCCUGCUUCGGAUUCUGUGUCUCCCUCUCUCUGCCCCUCCCCUACUUGAGCACUCUCGCUCUCUCUUUCUCUCUCUCUCUCAAAAACAAAUAAACAUUUAAAAAUUUUUCUUAAAAGAAGAUGUGGUAUAUAUAUAUUAUAUUAU